CGCAAAGGUGAUGGUUUAUCAACGUUAGACAUUAGCUGCUUUUUCAAACUAUUUGAAAAACAACACUUAUUCAACGUUAUUUCAACGUUGGUUGAAAAUGUGCUAAUUAAAAAACGUUAAAAAAGUGUUACUUUGCCAACGUUAAUAAAACGUUGUUUUGACAAUGUUGAGGAAGUGGCACAUUGAAAAUUAUUGUCUCAAUAACUAGCCAUUACAAAAAUAAUUUGCCUUAAUGGAAAGGCAAGGAAAACUUGAUAAAAUGCAUGCAUAUGGUUUGAAGCAGAGGCAGUUGUUCCAUCUUGUUCGAAAAAAGAUGGAUGGUUAUUUUGGUCAACUUGUGUUCAUGCAA